GGACCCGUAGCUCAGUUGGCUAGAGCGCUCGGUUUACAUCCGAUAGGUCGCAGGUUCGAGUCCUGCCGGGUCCACUA
rnacentral:tRNA from 1 species